rnacentral:rRNA from 1 species
UACGUAGGUGGCAAGCGUUGUCCGGAAUUACUGGGUGUAAAGGGCGUGUAGGCGGGAAGGCAAGUCAGAUGUGAAAGCCCAUGGCUUAACUGUGGAAUUGCAUCUGAAACUGUUUUUCUUGAGUGCUGGAGAGGAAAGUGGAAUUCCUAGUGUAGCGGUGAAAUGCGUAGAGAUUAGGAGGAACACCAGUGGCGAAGGCGGCUUUCUGGACAGUAACUGACGCUGAGGCGCGAAAGCGUGGGGAGCAAACAGGAUUAGAUACCCUGGUAGUCCACGCUGUAAACGAUGGAUACUAGGUGUGGGAGGUAUCGACCCCUUCCGUGCCGGAGUUAACACAAUAAGUAUCCCACCUGGGGAGUACGGCCGCAAGGCUGAA